GAUCCUGGCUUAGGAUGAACGCUGGCGGCGUGCUUAACACAUGCAAGUCGAACGAAGCACUUAAGUGAAUUUCUUCGGAGUGAAGCUUUUGUGACUGAGUGGCGGACGGGUGAGUAACGCGUGGGUAACCUGCCUCAUACAGGGGGAUAACAGUUAGAAAUGACUGCUAAUACCGCAUAAGCGCACAGCUUCGCAUGAAGCAGUGUGAAAAACUCCGGUGGUAUGAGAUGGACCCG
rnacentral:rRNA from 1 species